UACGAAGGGGGCUAGCGUUGCUCGGAAUCACUGGGCGUAAAGGGCGCGUAGGCGGAUCUUUAAGUCGGGGGUGAAAGCCCAGGGCUCAACCCUGGAAUUGCCUUCGAUACUGUAGAGCUUGAGACCGGAAGAGGUAAGUGGAACUGCGAGUGUAGAGGUGAAAUUCGUAGAUAUUCGCAAGAACACCAGUGGCGAAGGCGGCUUACUGGUCCGGUUCUGACGCUGAGGCGCGAAAGCGUGGGGAGCGAACAGG
rnacentral:rRNA from 1 species